AAAAGAAAAUGAUUCGCUACCUUAUCUGUUCGCUAACGAAGCAUCCCCACCCCUCGGCUCGCUCGAGCAGGGGAACCAGGAGACAGCGCCCACAGGGAAGCGAUGGCGGCGCCCAGAUCUUGCUGAAAAUUGGAUGAACUUGAACCUAUCUGAACUAUUUGUUUUGUUACAUUUGGAACCACGUCAUGUUCAACUUCAACUUAUUUAAACAAUUGUGUUGUUAAAUAUAUAAUAUUUGCAAUACAAUCAUCCAAUUAUAGUAACACAUUAUACAGCUUUUGUUUUGAUUCA